rnacentral:rRNA from 1 species
UACGUAGGUUGCGAGCGUUAUUCGGAUUUACUGGGCGUAAAGAGCACCGCGGUGGCUUCUUAAGUUGGAUGUAAAAUCUCCUGGCUUAACUGGGAGGCGCCAUUCAAAACUGAGGAGCUUGAGGUCAGCAGGGGAAGGUGGAAUUCCCGGUGUAGUGGUGGAAUGCGUAGAGAUCGGGAGGAACACCAGUGGCGAAAGCGACCUUCUGGGCUGCACCUGACACUCUAGUGCGAAAGCGUGGGGAGCAAACAGG